CAAUCUGACCUUUCUUGGGGAUUCUGACCAAACUGCAGUGGAAGACAGCUAAUAUCUUCCAGGAUUUUCCAUGAUUAAGGUACAGACACAUUUCCUGGUCCACAGUUAGUGGAGAGAUGCUCAAGAGCACAAAUCCUCAUUCUGUAGGAUCAAUAUGUCUGGUCUGAGCCUACAGGAUGGAUUUCCUAUCAUUUCCUUAUAUCAACUCUUAAGCUGCCCACAGGCCAUGCUGCUGAUCAGUGCCAGUGCCCAGGAUGCCCUGUGGUGAUUGUGUGAUGUCUGGGGUGUGCUCUGAGCUCUACACCUGCUUUCAGAAGAUGGUGCCCACCUUUCCCUGCAGGAAGCACUGCCAGUUCUCCUACAGAGCCAACAAGCUCCCAGGCACAGCUAUUUUAAUGAGCAGGACUCAGGCUCUCCUCCAGUCCAGGCUGUCUCCUCCAGGACUCCUCAAAGGCUCUCACUUUGCAUCUGAAUUGCACUGGCUUUUAAUGCAUCCAGCAGAUUUACACCUGCUUGUGAAGCCAGCCAAGAACAUUUUGAAAGUACCUGGCCUAUAAUUUUGGCCACUCUUUGCCCGCUGUGCAUUUCCCUGGUACACAGAAUGAACUCAUUCACUUCAGCUAUUUGGAUACACACCUCUCUUUUCCAAAACUGCUUGGUCUAUUUUAACAUAACUUUCAAGAACAUCCCUUAGCACAGAGAGUCAUUGAGAGCACAGCACCAGCAAAGCACCUGACAACCAGCUGCAUUGCUCCAAAACUGAUUUACUGCAAGGGGAUUUGUGGAAAAAGGGAUUUAACAUGCCUCCUCUUCCAGAAUAAA